rnacentral:rRNA from 1 species
GAUGAACGCUGGCGGCGUGCCUAAUACAUGCAAGUCGAGCGAACAGACGAGGAGCUUGCUCCUCUGACGUUAGCGGCGGACGGGUGAGUAACACGUGGAUAACCUACCUAUAAGACUGGGAUAACUUCGGGAAACCGGAGCUAAUACCGGAUAAUAUAUUGAACCGCAUGGUUCAAUAGUGAAAGACGGUUUUGCUGUCACUUAUAGAUGGAUCCGCGCCGCAUUAGCUAGUUGGUCAGGUAACGGCUUACCAAGGCGACGAUGCGUAGCCGACCUGAGAGGGUGAUCGGCCACACUGGAACUUAGACACGGUCCAGACUCCUACGGGAGGCAGCAGUAGGGAAUCUUCCGCAAUGGGCGAAAGCCUGACGGAGCAACGCCGCGUGAGUGAUGAAGGUCUUCGGAUCGUAAAACUCUGUUAUUAGGGAAGAACAAAUGUGUAAGUAACUAUGCACGUCUUGACGGUACCUAAUCAGAAAGCCACGGCUAACUACGUG